UUUCCGUAGGUGAACCUGCGGAAGGAUCAUUACCACGAACGGAGCUGCCGCGGACGCUGAGCGCAAGCGAGGUGGUCGUGACAGUUUCCCAAAACCCAUUCCGUUUGGCGCGGGCUUUAAAACCCCGCGCCCGACAGUGCACUCAUUCGUACCACAGGCGCUCGCCAGCCGUUUUUGCGAUAGCCGCGCUUCACCGCGUCGGCUUGGCUGGUUGCAGUCGUCUCAACCCAAACCAAUCGCAAAACACAAACAAACCCAAUUCAAACCACACGCCUCGGCAUGUAAACGAUGUUGCACCGCGGCUUACGCCACGGUACACUCACAAAAAACGCUUACAACUUUCAGCAACGGAUAUCUUGGCUCUU
rnacentral:misc_RNA from 1 species